AAUAGAUACCCCGGUAGUCCACGCCGUAAACGAUGAGUGCUAAGUGUUAGGGGGUUUCCGCCCCUUAGUGCUGCAGCUAACGCAUUAAGCACUCCGCCUGGGGAGUACGGUCGCAAGACUGAAACUCAAAGGAAUUGACGGGGGCCCGCACAAGCGGUGGAGCAUGUGGUUUAAUUCGAAGCAACGCGAAGAACCUUACCAGGUCUUGACAUCCCAUUGACCACUAUGGAGACAUAGUUUUCCCUUCGGGGACAACGGUGACAGGUGGUGCAUGGUUGUCGUCAGCUCGUGUCGUGAGAUGUUGGGUUAAGUCCCGCAACGAGCGCAACCCUUGUUCUUAGUUGCCAUCAUUUAGUUGGGCACUCUAAGGAGACUGCCGGUGACAAACCGGAGGAAGGUGGGGAUGACGUCAAAUCAUCAUGCCCCUUAUGACCUGGGCUACACACGUGCUACAAUGGACGGUACAAACGGUUGCCAACCCGCGAGGGGGGAGCUAAUCCGAUAAAACCGUUCUCAGUUCGGAUUGUAGGCUGCAACUCGCCUACAUGAAGCC
rnacentral:rRNA from 1 species